rnacentral:tRNA from 1 species
GUUGGGUGUGGUGUAAUGGAAGCACGGCUGCUUGUGAGGCAGUAAGCGACGGUUCGAACCCGUCCAUCCACCG